rnacentral:rRNA from 1 species
UACGUAGGGUGCGAGCGUUAAUCGGAAUUACUGGGCGUAAAGCGUGCGCAGGCGGUGAUGUAAGACAGGUGUGAAAUCCCCGGGCUUAACCUGGGAACUGCAUUUGUGACUGCAUCGCUGGAGUGCGGCAGAGGAGACUGGAAUUCCUGGUGUAGCAGUGAAAUGCGUAGAUAUCAGGAGGAAUACCGAUGGCGAAGGCAGGUCUCUGGGCUGACACUGACGCUCAUGCACGAAAGCGUGGGGAGCAAACAGG